rnacentral:misc_RNA from 1 species
CUGUUCGAGCGUCAUUACAACCCUCAAGCUCUGCUUGGUAUUGGACGUGAUAAUCUCAAUCCAUCCUAAAACUAGUGGCGGUGCCACUCGGCUUCCAGCGUAGUAAUUCUCUCGCUGUGGAUACCUGAGUGAGUGCUGCCAGCAACCCUCAUAUUUUAAAGGUUGACCUCGGAUCAGGUAGGGAUACCCGCUGAACUUAA